GCACUUUCCAUUCCUUCUGCUCCAGUUCCUAGACUUCAGAUUCUCCUCUCCUUUCCCUUUCACAUCACCAAAUCACACUACCUCGCCCCCCAAUCCAGCUCCAAUUCCCCACACCCACUUCCAGGUGCCGGUGGACGCAGCGACCACAGGCUCGUGGGGGAGACUUGCAACAAGGGAACAUGCAAGUCCGCCGAGGUCGGGGGAGGGGGGAGAUCCGGUCUCCCGCUGUAUUAUUUGGAAGGGAAGGCCUCAGCUCAACAGGUGUUUGUUGAAUGACUCCUGUGUGUGAAUCACCACUGAUGAUACAAGGACAAAAAUCAAAUGGCCUUUAUCUUCAAGGAGCUCCCGCUACGGAGAUAUAACAGACAAGAGAUGUAAUAUAAUUCUGAAAGAAGCAAUUUUAGAUGCCUGAGCAGAUACAUCCUACCUAGGUCUUCUCUAAGAAAUGGGAGCUGAAUGUUGGUAGAGGGUCACCAGGGCCAUCCUGUUGUCUGCUGCAGAUAUGAAGAUUUUGUCUACAGAUAACAGUGAGCUGAUUUUUAUUGAUUCUGAUUGAGUGUUUGCUACUAAUGAGACUACAGCCUGGAGAAGACAAUGGGAGGGAGACCUCUGGAUAAAUAGCCUGGCGCUUAACUGAAGUCCUCUAUUAAAGCCUUCUUUUACUUUCUGGAGACCCAAAGAAGGACUUCCAAAUAAAUACUCCCAUUGCUAUUCUAAAGAGUGUGUUAAUCUUCUCCCCUCUGACUCCACUCACCAUCCCUGUAGCUUUCUAAACCAUAAUGCCCCUGCCAGAGUUGCCACUUCCUUAUUUGUGUAGUCCCUCCCAGUUCGAAUAUAAGCUCUUCAAC